UUGUCACCAUAGUAAUCCUGCUCAGUACGAGAGGAACCACAGGUUCAGACAUUUGGUGUAUGUGCUUGGCUGAGGAGCCAAUUGGGCAAAGCUACCACCUGUGGGAUUAUGACUGAACGCCACCUCUAAGUAAAGAAUAAUAUUUAAUAAAAGAGGUGAUAA
rnacentral:ncRNA from 1 species